CAGCAGCCACGGGAAUACGUAGGGUGCAAGCGUUAAUCGGAAUUACUGGGCGUAAAGCGUGCCCAGGCGGUUUUGUAAGACAGAGGUGAAAUCCCCGGGCUCAACCUGGGAACUGCCUUUGUGACUGCAAGGCUGGAGUGCGGCAGAGGGGGAUGGAAUUCCGCGUGUAGCAGUGAAAUGCGUAGAUAUGCGGAGGAACACCGAUGGCGAAGGCAAUCCCCUGGGCCUGCACUGACGCUCAUGCACGAAAGCGUGGGGAGCAAACAGGAUUAGAUACCCGCGUAGUCCCUGUCUCUUAUAC
rnacentral:rRNA from 1 species